AUUGAACGCUGGCGGCAUGCCUUACACAUGCAAGUCGAACGGCAGCACGGGUGCUUGCUCCUGGUGGCGAGUGGCGAACGGGUGAGUAAUACAUCGGAACAUGUCCUGUAGUGGGGGGUAGCCCGGCGAAAGCCGGAUUAAUACCGCAUACGAUCUACGGAUGACAGCGGGGGUCCUUCGGGCCUGGCGCUGUAGGGCUGGCCGAUGGCUGAUUAGCUUGUUGGUGGGGUAAAGGGCUACCAAGGCGACGAUCAGUAGCUGGUCUGAGAGGAUGACCGGCCACACUGGGACUGAGACACGGCCAAGACUCCUACGGGAGGCAGCAGUGGGGAAUUUUGGACAAUGGGCGAAAGCCUGAUCCAGCAAUGCCGCGUGUGUGAAGAAGGCCUUCGGGUUGUAAAGCACUUUUGUCCGGAAAGAAAUCCUUGGCCCUAAUACGGUCGGGGGAUGACGGUACCGGAAGAAUAAGCACCGGCUAACUACGUG
rnacentral:rRNA from 1 species